rnacentral:rRNA from 1 species
GACCGUCCCAGUUCGGAUCGCAGGCUGCAACCCGCCUGCGUGAAGUUGGAAUCGCUAGUAAUCGCGGAUCAGCAUGCCGCGGUGAAUACGUUCCCGGGCCUUGUACACACCGCCCGUCACACCAUGAGAGUCGGGAACACCCGAAGUCCGUAGCCUAACCGCAAGGGGGGCGCGGCCGAAGGUGGGUUCGAUAAUUGGGGUGAAGUCGUAACAAGGUAUC